rnacentral:tRNA from 1 species
UCCUCUGUGGCUCAGUUGGUAGAGCAUGGUGUUUGCAACGCCAGGGUUGUGCGUUCGAUUCCCACGGGGGAC